CGGCGCCUCCUCUCGGCGUCCCCUGAGCCAGCCCGCGAGCGGCCGCGCUCCCGACUCUCCUUCCUUCCGCGCAGCCUCCAGUUCCCCGGGGCUGGAGCCCGCUGUCGGCGGGUUGCCGGCUCCUAGGGCGAUGAGAGUGGCAGGUGUGCCCUGCUGCACAGGUGGCCUCCGAACCCGGGAAAAGAGGAACUAAGGCGGAGGAACUGAGACGUUUCGAAUUCCAGAGAUACCAAGAACAAGAGCAAGAGAGAUUAUUUCUGGAUGCAGCAUGAGUGAUGAGUGACCCCAGUGUUCAGCUCCCAGGAGCAGCAGAGCUGAUGCCACAACCCAUGGAAUCCAGUGGCGCACUGCACACUCGCCGGGGGGCACGCCAUGCAAAUCUCCUUCUGGGCCAAUGCACAUGGUUGCUGCCACAGGUUUACCGGAUGCUAUCAAGGUUUCAACUGCCCACACAGCUUCUUCAACGUGUUCAAAAUACUGGAAUCAGUUAAGCUUUCUUUACCUCUGCAAUCAAGAAGUCCACGUUCUUCUUCAUAAAGACCUCUAACUGUUGCAGAAAUACUUUUUUGACUUCAGUUUCACUCUUGCAGCUAAGAUAUGAAGGUGUCUGACUCACUCCUCCUGCUACCAAAGCAUCUCCUUCAUCAGCCACUUGUCGGGCGACGUCGCAAGCAGCUUCAUUGACUUUCUGCCCCUAAAAUGGAUAUCUUCUCUAAGACAUAGUUGCCCCUGUUCUCCAGCUUGUCUUCACUCGCAUAGAAGGUGAAGGUCUGCAUGACGUUUGAGCCAGCUCUGAGGAACUCUCGAUGAAGCUGGCGAACUGGGAGAGUGAAUGAGGAAAGAGACAGCAUCUCACUAUGUGCCCAGAGGAUUCUUGAACUCCUGGGCUCAGAAGAUCCUCCAGUCUCACCCUCCCCAGCAGCCGAAACUACAGGCUCGUGCCACAGUGCCUAGCAAUGCUAUUAAGCCAUUUUAUUUUAAGACUGAAAAGGUGGCCAAAUCACUCAAAGACUUCUAUCUUUGGUGUUAAAAUUCAGUUUCCACAACAGUAGCUAUGCUAUACAGUCCAGGUUAUGAGUGUGCACAUGCUGUACUCUAUGAUGAGAACAAGGAAGAGACAACUAAAUAAAGUAUUUGUUGAAUGAUUUUUCAGCCCAA